CUCUCUGUGUGGGGAACAUGACAGCCGGACCAAAGCUCAGAGGAGGAAUUCAGAAAACCCAGAUUUACCUGAAUCUGAACACAGCUGUGUGUCCAUGAAGAGUGACAGGUCUAUGGAACAUCCUUUACUCUUCAAAGAUGGACUCAAUUCUCCUGAUCAGAGAGUGGACCAGGAGAGCUCAGAGGUUCCCAUUGGUCAGUCUGCCCA